ensembl:snRNA U1 U1 spliceosomal RNA
AUACUUACGUGGCAGGGGAACUGCCAUGAUCAGGAAGGUGGUUUCCCCAGGGCGAGGCUCAUCCAUUGCACUCCGGAUGUGCUGAUUGAUCCCUGCAAUUUCCCUAAAUGUGGGAAACUAGACUGCAUAAUUUGUGGUAGUGGGGGAGACUGCAUUCGCUCUUUCCCCUG